rnacentral:lncRNA from 1 species
CUAACAUUAGCAAAAUAUUUGAAAAGUCCUGGUUAUAUACAAUUCAACAAUAAAAGAAAAGGCUAAACUGACAGAAGAAAUUAAAAAAAACUAAAGUUAGAAAGCUGUCACUGCACUUUGAUGGUAUUACUCAAAAAGACUAUCAAGUGUUGAAGGUUUAACAAAGAGAAGAUAAGUUACAAGAACUAGAUCUACCAGAUGGAAUAGCAGAUAUUGUUUUUAAAAGUGAUGCAUUGAUUCUUGACAGGCUGUUAAUUUUAUAGAUGCUAAAGAUGACCUUGUUUUCGAUAUGACUAAGACUAACAGUGGAGUUAAAGUUAGAAAGGG